CCUACGGGAGGCUGCAGUGAGGAAUAUUGGUCAAUGGGAGAGAUCCUGAACCAGCCAAGCCGCGUGAGGGAAGACGGCCCUAUGGGUUGUAAACCUCUUUUGUCGGAGAACAAAACCCGGGACGUGUCCCGGACUGCGUGUAUCCGAAGAAAAAGCAUCGGCUAACUCCGUGCCAGCAGCCGCGGUAAUACGGGGGAUGCGAGCGUUAUCCGGAUUUAUUGGGUUUAAAGGGUGCGUAGGCGGUCCGUUAAGUCAGCGGGAAAAUUGCGGGGCUCAACCCCGUCGAGCCGUUGAAACUGGCAGACUUGAGUUGGCGAGAAGUACGCGGAAUGCGCGGUGUAGCGGUGAAAUGCAUAGAUAUCGCGCAGAACUCCGAUUGCGAAGGCAGCGUACCGGCGCCAGACUGACGCUGAGGCACGAAAGCGUGGGGAUCGAACAGGAUUAGAUACCCCGGUAGUC
rnacentral:rRNA from 1 species